rnacentral:tRNA from 1 species
GUAUUCUUAGCUCAAUUGGAUAGAGCAAUUGUUUUCUAAACUAUAGAUUAGCGGUUCGAGUCCGUUAGAGUACG